CGGAGGAUCCAAGCGUUAUCCGGAAUCAUUGGGUUUAAAGGGUCCGUAGGCGGUCCUGUAAGCCAGUGGUGAAAGCCCAUCGCUCAACGGUGGAACGGCCAUUGAUACUGCAGGACUUGAAUUACUGGGAAGCAACUAGAAUAUGUAGUGUAGCGGUGAAAUGCUUAGAGAUUACAUGGAAUACCAAUUGCGAAGGCAGGUUGCUACCGGUGGAUUGACGCUGAUGGACGAAAGCGUGGGUAGCGAACAGGAUUAGAUACCCUGGUAGUCCACGCCGUAAACGAUGGAUACUAGCUGUUGGGAGCGAUCUCAGUGGCUAAGCGAAAGUGAUAAGUAUCCCACCUGGGGAGUACGAACGCAAGUUUG
rnacentral:rRNA from 1 species